rnacentral:rRNA from 1 species
CUGUUGCCUCGGCGGGAUCUCUGCCCCGGGUGCGUCGCAGCCCCGGACCAAGGCGCCCGCCGGAGGACCAACCAAAACUCUUAUUGUAUACCCCCUCGCGGGUUUUUUUUAUAAUCUGAGCCUUCUCGGCGCCUCUCGUAGGCGUUUCGAAAAUGAAUCAAAACUUUCAACAACGGAUCUCUUGGUUCUGGCAUCGAUGAAGAACGCAGCGAAAUGCGAUAAGUAAUGUGAAUUGCAGAAUUCAGUGAAUCAUCGAAUCUUUGAACGCACAUUGCGCCCGCCAGUAUUCUGGCGGGCAUGCCUGUCCGAGCGUCAUUUCAACCCUCGAACCCCUCCGGGGGGUCGGCGUUGGGGAUCGGCCCUGCCUUGGCGGUGGCCGUCUCCGAAAUACAGUGGCGGUCUCGCCGCAGCCUCUCCUGCGCAGUAGUUUGCACACUCGCAUCGGGAGCGCGGCGCGUCCACAGCCGUUAAACACCCAACUUCUGAAAUGUUGACCUCGGAUCAGGUAGGAAUACCCGCUGAACUUAAGCAUAUCAAUAAGCGGAGGAAAAGAAACCAACAGGGAUUGCCCCAGUAACGGCGAGUGAAGCGGCAACAGCUCAAAUUUGAAAUCUGGUCCCUAGGGCCCGAGUUGUAAUUUGUAGAGGAUGCUUUUGGUGAGGUGCCGCCCGAGUUCCCUGGAACGGGACGCCACAGAGGGUGAGAGCCCCGUCUGGCUGGCCGCCGAGCCUCUGUAAAGCUCCUUCGACGAGUCGAGUAGUUUGGGAAUGCUGCUCAAAAUGGGAGGUAUAUGUCUUCUAAAGCUAAAUAUUGGCCAGAGACCGAUAGCGCACAAGUAGAGUGAUCGAAAGAUGAAAAGCACCUUGAAAAGAGGGUUAAAUAGUACGUGAAAUUGUUGAAAGGGAAGCGCUUGUGACCAGACUUGGGCGCGGCGGAUCAUCCGGGGUUCUCUCCGGUGCACUUCGCCGCGUCUAGGCCAGCAUCAGUUCGUCGCGGGGGAAAAAGGCUUCGGGAACGUGGCUCCUCCGGGAGUGUUAUAGCCCGUUGCAUAAUACCCUGCGGU